AUUGAACGCUAGCGGGAUGCUUUACACAUGCAAGUCGAACGAGUGGCGGACGGGUGAGUAAUAUAUCGGAACGUGCCCAGUAGCUGGGGAUAACUACUCUAAAGAGUGGCUCAUACCGCAUUCUCAUGUAGUGGCCGAUAUCGGAUUAGCUAGUGGGUGGGGAAACGGCUCACCAAGGCCACGAUCCGUAGCUGGUUUGAGAGGACGACCAGGCACACUGGGACUGAGACACGGGCCAGAAUCCUACGGGAGGCAGCAGUGGGGAAUUUUGGACAAUGGGGGAAACCCUGAUCCAGCCAUCCCGCGUGUAUGAGAAGGCCUUCGGGUUGUAAAGUACUUUUGGCAGAGAAGCGGUAUCUGCAGAAUAAGCACCGGCUAACUCCGUGCCAGCGGCCGCGGUAAUAC
rnacentral:rRNA from 1 species